rnacentral:rRNA from 1 species
UGGUGGAGUGAUUUGUCUGGUUAAUUCCGAUAACGAACGAGACUCUAUUCAACUAAAUAGUUCUACCUUUUCUUACAAAGUGGACCCUUUUCUUCUUAGAGAGACUGGCUGCGUCUAGCAGCACGAGAUUGAGCAAUAACA